UUAACUUUAUGCACGUUCGGUGACGUCACGUUUAUUAUAUUUUCGUUGAAAGAUCUGAAGUUACUUCAAUUCCAGCAUUCCUAGUGCAAAGAGGAAGGGCUAAACAUAGUAUGGGAUGGUUGAUUGCAGAAGACAAUAUUUAGCGAGAGUCCAACCUUUUAUAUUUUGGUAAACAUAAAUCAAUCCGUUGAUUGGAUGUGGCAAGAGCUUUCCAUAUUUCCAAGUUAGGAGAGGCUAAAUGGGUUCUGUUUGAAAAGAUCCAGCAUUUUUGAAAAGCAAUUAACAGAUGCGAAACAAUGUGUCUCUGUGAAAAGGGCAGGCUAAAGGUUUCAACAGCACCGGCCGAAAAAGUGGUGAUAUAAUUUCAGCAUUGAACAAGGGCAGGGCAAUAUGUAUAUAUACAUGUGUAGCGUUGUCAGACUAUAUGGAUAGUCGGGCCUCGGUGACAAAAAAUGAUGAAAU